rnacentral:lncRNA from 1 species
UAUUAAUUGAGAAAAUAAUCAGGCAAAUAAUUGACAAUUGGAAAUAUUCAAUAGCUGCAGCCCUGUGACUAUUGGAUCUAGUCACCAUGGGUUCACUACAGGGGAUCUGUCACUUUAAGAGAGUGUUGUAUUGUGGGUUGUUUCCUUUGACUGCUAGAGUUGGAGCUACAAAACAAAAAAGUUGACCACUGAAAUGUCAUGUUUUGAGAUGGCAAAAGGCCGACUUAAAAUGCUAAUAGCAAAAAACAAAACAAAACUGUUUUUGUGAACCCACACAGCACUGAGCUGUGGGUACAUGACUGAAAACACAAGAGUGAAGGAGUACUUGUCACACUUGGCAAACAAAUUUGGACAAACAACCAAAGGCGCCACAGCUUCACCCCUCCACUCUGACUCUCAGAUCCUGAGCUCCUAA